rnacentral:rRNA from 1 species
UGAACGUUGACCUCGGAUCAGGUAGGAAUACCCGCUGAACUUAAGCAUAUCAAUAG